rnacentral:tRNA from 1 species
UCGGGGGUCGUCUAAUGGUAGGACAACAGACUUUGAAUCUGUGUAUCGGGGUUCGAGUCCCUGCCCCCGAA